rnacentral:rRNA from 1 species
UACGUAGGGGGCAAGCGUUGUCCGGAUUUAUUAGGCGUAAAGAGCGUGUAGGCGGCUUGGUAGGUCCGCUGUGAAAACUCGAGGCUCAACCUCGAGAUGUCGGCGGAAACCACUUGGCUAGAGUCCGGAAGAGGAGAGUGGAAUUCCUGGUGUAGCGGUGAAAUGCGCAGAUAUCAGGAAGAACACCUAUGGCGAAGGCAGCUCUCUGGGACGGUACUGACGCUGAGACGCGAAAGCGUGGGGAGCGAACAGG